GAUGAACGCUGGCGGCGUGCCUAAUACAUGCAAGUCGAGCGAACGGACGAGAAGCUUGCUUCUCUGAUGUUAGCGGCGGACGGGUGAGUAACACGUGGAUAACCUGCCUAUAAGACUGGGAUAACUUCGGGAAACCGGAGCUAAUACCGGAUAAUAUUUUGAACCGCAUGGUUCAAAAGUGAAAGACGGUCUUGCUGUCACUUAUAGAUGGAUCCGCGCUGCAUUAGCUAGUUGGUAAGGUAACGGCUUACCAAGGCAACGAUGCAUAGCCGACCUGAGAGGGUGAUCGGCCACACUGGAACUGAGACACGGUCCAGACUCCUACGGGAGGCAGCAGUAGGGAAUCUUCCGCAAUGGGCGAAAGCCUGACGGAGCAACGCCGCGUGAGUGAUGAAGGUCUUCGGAUCGUAAAACUCUGUUAUUAGGGAAGAACAUAUGUGUAGGUAACUGUGCACAUCUUGACGGUACCUAAUCAGAAAGCCACGGCUAACUACGUG
rnacentral:rRNA from 1 species